GAGGAAGUAAAAGUCGUAACAAGGUUUCCGUAGGUGAACCUGCGGAAGGAUCAUUAACGAGUUCUUGAACAGGUUGUCGCUGGCCCUUUACAGGGUAUGUGCACACCUGGCUCAAUUUCCACUCUUAACCUCUGUGCACUCUUUGUAGGUCGGUUGAUGCUGGCGCAAGUCAGUUUGAAGCCUUCCUAUGUUUUAUUACAAACGCUUCAGUUAUAGAAUGUUUACUUUGCUAUAACGCAAAUAUAUACAACUUUCAGCAACGGAUCUCUUGGCUCUCGCAUCGAUGAAGAACGCAGCGAAAUGCGAUAAGUAAUGUGAAUUGCAGAAUUCAGUGAAUCAUCGAAUCUUUGAACGCACCUUGCGCCCCUUGGUAUUCCGAGGGGCAUGCCUGUUUGAGUGUCAUGGAAUUCUCAUCCCCUAAAKUUAUUUUUGGUGGGCUUGGAUGUGGAGGUUGUGCCGGUUUGUUAAAAGCCGGCUCCUCUGAAAUGCAUUAGUGUGAAUCUUACUGAUCGCCUUCAGUGUGAUAAUUGUCUACGCUGUGGUUGUGAAGUAAAUUAAUGUUCAUGCUUCUAAUCGUCUCUUUUUGAGACAAUUACUUUGACAUCUGACCUCAAAUCAGGUAGGACUACCCGCUGAACUUAAGCAUAUCAAU
rnacentral:rRNA from 1 species